GAAAUGCGAUAAUUAAUGUGAAUUGCAGAAUUCAGUGAAUCAUCGAGUCUUUGAAGGCACAUUGCGCCCCCUGGUAUUCCGGGGGGCAUGCCUGUCCGAGCGUCAUUGCUGCCCUCAAGCACGGCUUGUGUGUUGGGCUUCCGUCCCUGGCAACGGGGACGGGCCCAAAAGGCAGUGGCGGCACCAUGUCUGGUCCUCGAGCGUAUGGGGCUUUGUCACCCGCUCCCGUAGGUCCAGCUGGCAGCUAGCCUCGCAACCAAUCUUUUUAACCAGGUUGACCUCGGAUCAGGUAGGGAUACCCGCUGAACUUAAGC
rnacentral:misc_RNA from 1 species